rnacentral:rRNA from 1 species
CCUACGGGAGGCAGCAGUGGGGAAUAUUGGACAAUGGGGGGAACCCUGAUGCAGCAACGCCGCGUGAAGGAAGAAGGCUUUCGGUUUGUAAACUUCUAUCAACAGGGACGAAAAGAAUGACGGUACCUUAAUAAGCAGCCCCGGCUAACGACGUGCCAGCAGCCGCGGUAAGACGUAGGGGGCAAGCGUUAUCCGGACUUACUGGGUGUAAAGGGAGCGUAGGCGGCACGUUAAGCCAGAUGGGGAAGCCCGCGGCUUAACCGCGCGGAUUGCAUUUGGAACUAUCAAGCUAGAGUACAGGAGAGGAAAGCGGAAUUCCUGGUGUAGCGGUGAAAUGCGUAGAUAUUAGGAAGAACACCAGUGGCGAAGGCGGCUUUCUGGACUGUAACUGACGCUGAGGCUCGAAGGCGUGGGGAGCAAACAGGAUUAGAUACCCGUGUAGUC